UACGUAGGGUGCAAGCGUUAAUCGGAAUUACUGGGCGUAAAGCGUGCGCAGGCGGUCUUGCAAGACAGGUGUGAAAUCCCCGGGCUUAACCUGGGAACUGCACUUGUGACUGCAAGGCUGGAGUACGGCAGAGGGGGAUGGAAUUCCGCGUGUAGCAGUGAAAUGCGUAGAUAUGCGGAGGAACACCGAUGGCGAAGGCAAUCCCUGGGCCUGUACUGACGCUCCAGUGCGCGAAAGCGUGGGGAGCGAACAGG
rnacentral:rRNA from 1 species